rnacentral:rRNA from 1 species
GACGAACGCUGGCGGCGUGCCUACACAUGCAAGUCGAGCGAUGAAGCCCUUCGGGGCUGAUUAGCGGCGGACGGGUGAGUAACACGUGGGUAACCCGCCUCAUAGAGGGGGAUAGCCUCCCGAAAGGGAGAUUAAUACCGCAUAAUGUAUUUUAGCUGCAUGGCUGAAAUAUCAAAGGAGUAAUCCGCUAUGAGAUGGACCCGGGGCGCAUUAGCUAGUUGGUGAGGGAACGGCUCACAAAGGCGACGAUGCGUAGCCGACCUGAGAGGGUGAUCGGCCACAUUGGAACUGAGACACGGUCCAGACUCCUACGGGAGGCAGCAGUGGGGAAUAUUGCGCAAUGGGGGAAACCCUGACGCAGCAACGCCGCGUGAAUGAUGAAGGCCUUAGGGUUGUAAAGUUCUGUCUUCUGGGACGAUAAUGACGGUACCAGAGGAGGAAGCCACGGCUAACUACGUGCCAGCAGCCGCCGUAAUAC